AGAGUUUGAUCCUGGCUCAGGACGAACGCUGGCGGCGUGCCUAACACAUGCAAGUGGAGCGACGAAGCGGGCUUCGGCCCGUUGCAAAGCCGCGAACGGGUGAGUAACACGUGGGUAACCUGCCCCGAUGACCGGGACAACCCGAGGAAACUCGGGCUAAUACCGGAUGUGGUCACCUCACAUAAGUGAGAUGACCAAAGAUAGCUUCGGCCUUCGCAUCGGGAUGGGCCCGCGGCGCAUUAGCUUGUUGGUGAGGUAACGGCUCACCAAGGCUACGAUGCGUAGCUGGUCUGAGAGGACGAUCAGCCACACUGGGACUGAGACACGGCCCAGACUCCUACGGGAGGCAGCAGUGGGGAAUCUUGCGCAAUGCGCGAAAGCGUGACGCAGCAACGCCGCGUGGGGGAAGAAGGCCUUCGGGUUGUAAACCCCUUUCAGGAGGGACGAAACCUGGCUGGUGAAUAGCCAGUUCAGGUGACGGUACCUCCAUAAGAAGCCCCGGCUAACUACGUGCCAGCCGCCGCGGUAAUUC
rnacentral:rRNA from 1 species